GGAAGAUUGGGACCAGUAGACUUUGGAGAAGGUUGUUGAAAAGAAAAACAAAGUAUAAGCUGAACUAACCAACUGAGAUUGUGACUUGGUCUGCCUCUGACAAUAAUGGAAGGUUUAUAUAUCCGAAGGCUGCUGGCUGAUGCGUGCUUUUGGCAUGUACAAAUAACAGAGACAUAAAAAGCAACAGAAAGUAAAGGCCCAAUAUUUUUUCUUUUUCAUCACACGUCAUCUCCAGCAUGUGUAAAAAAACAGCAGAAGAUUGAAGAACAUUAUUACCAGAUGGGACUCUGUUUUUUCAACAAUGGUACAGCGAUAAACAUGGAAAUAUGCGCGUUAGAAGCUAAACAAAGGUGAAAAAAAAGGGCAAUGCUUUUGUGAUGUUGAUUCUCACAUGCGUCUAUUUGGCCGCCUUGACAAUUGAAUUCCAACUCAUAAUAUUGGUAACUUUGCGUUGGAAUAAUCUGCCAAGUGCAGUGGACUUACCAUUCAUGCACAUAAUUGACAGAGUUGACAGCAUGUUCGAUAGGAUUAUCAGCCUGCCCUUCUUGCAGCCAAACCAUAUCGGUCGAAAAUUAAGCCUAAAGCUUUGUCCUUUCUGUUUCUUUUAAGUUUAAGCUCUCUUGCGUUUUGUUUUCUGAAUAAGAC